rnacentral:piRNA from 1 species
UCAAAAGUUUGAUUCUACUGGUUCAUGGU